UCAAACCCCACCACCCACAUAAAAAGCUGGGAGUGGCUUUGCAGGUGUCUGUGACUCCGGUGUGGUAGGGAGCAGAGCAGGAGGGGAUUGCUGGGACUUGCUGGCUGCCACCAUAGCUCCAGACAUGGCAGAAAGAAGCUCUUCGGGUGGCUGUGAUGUAAUGGAGGUCCCGUGAUGACGCCGGGAUCACAAAAGCUGGCAAAGAAAUCUGCUAUCAGUGUUCGUUACCGGAUAUGAUGGUGCAGGUCAAGUCUCAGCUUUCUUGGAAAGCGGCGCUUCUGGGAAACUAGAAGAAUAUUCUUAAUUUAUUGCUCAAUGAAAUCCCAUCCUCUAUCUGUGGGAAAGAGGAUGGCUUCAAGGGUCUGACAACCUGGGAAAUGUAAAAGACAGUUCUACUUUGUGGACACAUUGUGGGCUGUCUGCUCAAAUAGCAACUAUCUCCAUCCUAGAUA